GGUGGAAUUUUCCGCAAUGGGCGAAAGCCUGACGGAGCAACGCCGCGUGAGGGAGGAAGGCCUGUGGGUUGUAAACCUCUUUUCUCAGGGAAGAAGUUCUGACGGUACCUGAGGAAUCAGCAUCGGCUAACUCCGUGCCAGCAGCCGCGGUAAGACGGAGGAUGCAAGCGUUAUCCGGAAUUAUUGGGCGUAAAGCGUCCGUAGGCGGUUCAGAAAGUCUGCUGUUAAAGCUCACAGCUCAACUGUGAAUCGGCAGUGGAAACUUCUGGACUAGAGAGUGGUAGGGGUAGAGGGAAUUCCUAGUGUAGCGGUGAAAUGCGUAGAUAUUAGGAAGAACACCAGUGGCGAAGGCGCUCUACUGGGCCAUUACUGACGCUGAUGGACGAAAGCUAGGGGAGCGAAAGGGAUUAGAUACCCCUGUAGUCCUAGCUGUAAACGAUGGACACUAGGUGUUGGCCGUAUCGACCCGGUCAGUAUCGAAGCAAACGCGUUAAGUGUCC
rnacentral:rRNA from 1 species